GACGAACGCUGGCGGCGCGCCUAACACAUGCAAGUCGAACGGAGCUGAGAGAAGCUUGCUUUUCUUAGCUUAGUGGCGAACGGGUGAGUAACGCGUGAGUAACCUGCCCUGGAGUGGGGGACAACAGUUGGAAACGACUGCUAAUACCGCAUAAGCCCACGAUCCGGCAUCGGAUUGAGGGAAAAGGAUUUAUUCGCUUCAGGAUGGACUCGCGUCCAAUUAGCUAGUUGGUGAGGUAACGGCCCACCAAGGCGACGAUUGGUAGCCGGACUGAGAGGUUGAACGGCCACAUUGGGACUGAGACACGGCCCAGACUCCUACGGGAGGCAGCAGUGGGGGAUAUUGCACAAUGGGGGAAACACUGAUGCAGCGACGCCGCGUGGAGGAAGAAGGUUUUCGGAUUGUAAACUCCUGUCGUUAGGGACGAUAAUGACGGUACCUAACAAGAAAGCACCGGCUAACUACGUG
rnacentral:rRNA from 1 species